GCCUCUCUAGACCAACUGGAAGGAGUCGCCAGGCUCAGAACCUGGACAGUGGGGGUUCGAAUCCCCCGGGAGGCA
rnacentral:tRNA from 2 species